rnacentral:rRNA from 1 species
ACUCAAAUGAAUAGACGGGGGCCCGCACAAGCGGUGGAGCAUGUGGUUUAAUUCGAUGCAACGCGAAGAACCUUACCAGGUCUUGACAUCCAAAGAAUCCUGAUGAAAGUCGGGAGUGCCUUAGGGAGCUUUGAGACAGGUGGUGCAUGGUUGUCGUCAGCUCGUGUCGUGAGAUGUUGGGUUAAGUCCCGCAACGAGCGCAACCCUUGCUAUUAGUUGCUAACAGGUUAAGCUGAGCACUCUAAUGGGACUGCCGGUGACAAGCCGGAGGAAGGUGGGGAUGACGUCAAAUCAUCAUGCCCUUUAUGAUCUGGGCUACACACGUGCUACAAUGGAUGGUACAGAGAGCGGCGAUACAGUGAUGUGGAGCGAAUCUCAAAAAGCCAUUCUCAGUUCGGAUUGUAGUCUGCAACUCGACUACAUGAAGUCGGAAUCGCUAGUAAUCGCGAAUCAGCAUGUCGCGGUGAAUGCGUUCCCGGGCCUUGUACACACCGCCCGU